AGCGAACGCUGGCGGCAGGCCUAACACAUGCAAGUCGAACGAACUCUUCGGAGUUAGUGGCGGACGGGUGAGUAACACGUGGGAACGUGCCUUUUGGUUCGGAAUAACUCAGGGAAACUUGUGCUAAUACCGAAUGUGCCCUUCGGGGGAAAGAUUUAUCGCCAUUAGAGCGGCCCGCGUCUGAUUAGCUAGUUGGUGAGGUAACGGCUCACCAAGGCGACGAUCAGUAGCUGGUCUGAGAGGAUGACCAGCCACACUGGGACUGAGACACAGCCCAGACUCCUACGGGAGGCAGCAGUGGGGAAUCUUGCGCAAUGGGCGAAAGCCUGACGCAGCCAUGCCGCGUGAAUGAUGAAGGUCUUAGGAUUGUAAAAUUCUUUCACCGGGGACGAUAAUGACGGUACCCGGAGAAGAAGCCCCGGCUAACUUCGUG
rnacentral:rRNA from 1 species